rnacentral:rRNA from 1 species
GAUGAACGAGGGAGGCGUGCCUAAUACAUGCAAGUCGAGCGAACGGACGAGAAGCUUGCUUCUCUGAUGUUAGCGGCGGACGGGUGAGUAACACGUGGAUAACCUACCUAUAAGACUGGGAUAACUUCGGGAAACCGGAGCUAAUACCGGAUAAUAUUUUGAACCGCAUGGUUCAAAAGUGAAAGGCGGUCUUGCUGUCACUUAUAGAUGGAUCCGCGCUGCAUUAGCUAGUUGGUAAGGUAACGGCUUACCAAGGCAACGAUGCAUAGCCGACCUGAGAGGGUGAUCGGCCACACUGGAACUGAGACACGGUCCAGACUCCUACGGGAGGCAGCAGUAGGGAAUCUUCCGCAAUGGGCGAAAGCCUGACGGAGCAACGCCGCGUGAGUGAUGAAGGUCUUCGGAUCGUAAAACUCUGUUAUUAGGGAAGAACAUAUGUGUAAGUAACUGUGCACAUCUUGACGGUACCUAAUCAGAAAGCCACGGCUAACUACGUG